rnacentral:snRNA from 1 species
GUAUUUUCAAAGUACAUAUACUAAAAAACAAUGAUACAGAGUAAUCAGCAUGGCCCCUGAGCAAGGAUUACACGCAAAAUUGUGAGACAUUCCAGAUUUUU